UGGGAAAGAGGAGCUUUGCUGUGUUUCUAUGAGGUUACUGCCAGGGGAAGCUGAAUUUCAGUUUUAGAGAGGUCUUCGAGUCUCGUUGAGCUGAACUUGCACUCUUAGAAGCUGGUUUGGGAGGUAUUCUAACCUGAGGUAAGCAGGGAUUUCAGUUAGAAAACUGAAUUCGCAAGAUUCCGACUAUAUUUGCUAUUAUGUGAUGAUUUUGAUGUCGUGUUGGUGUUGAUCGCAGCGGGAGUUCGACUGACCUUUGGGUCAUCCUUGGUUGGCUUUGGGAAGCCUUUAGAGACUUAAUUGGAGCAUUGGGGCUUCGUUGAGCCGUUUGUGGGACUUCUUGU